AAUGAACGUUGGCGGCGUGGAUUAGGCAUGCAAGUCGAGCGAGAACCCCGCAAGGGGGGACAGCGGCGAAAGGGACAGUAAUGUGUAGAUUAUCUGCCCUCAGGUCCGGGAUAGCUGCGGGAAACUGCAGGUAAUACCGGAUAACAUCUCCGGAUCAAAGGUGUGAUUCCGCCUGAGGAUGAGUCUGCAUCCUAUUAGCUAGUUGGUGGGGUAAUGGCCUACCAAGGCAUUGAUGGGUAGCAGGUGUGAGAGCACGACCUGCGUCAUUGGGACUGAGACACUGCCCAGACACCUACGGGUGGCUGCAGUCGAGAAUCUUCGGCAAUGGGCGCAAGCCUGACCGAGCGACGCCGCGUGUGGGAUGAAGGCCUUCGGGUUGUAAACCGCUGUCAGAGGGGAUGAAAUGCAGGUGGGUUCUCCCAUCUGUUUGACAUAGCCUCAGAGGAAGGACGGGCUAAGUUCGUG
rnacentral:rRNA from 1 species